AUUGAACGCUGGCGGCAGGCCUAACACAUGCAAGUCGAACGGUAACAGGAAGCAGCUUGCUGCUUCGCUGACGAGUGGCGGACGGGUGAGUAAUGUCUGGGAAACUGCCUGAUUGAGGGGGAUAACUACUGGAAACGGUAGCUAAUACCGCAUAACGUCGCAAGACCAAAGAGGGGGACCUUAGGGCCUCUUGCCAUCGGAUGUGCCCAGAUGGGAUUAGCUAGUAGGUGGGGUAACGGCUCACCUAGGCGACGAUCCCUAGCUGGUCUGAGAGGAUGACCAGCCACACUGGAACUGAGACACGGUCCAGACUCCUACGGGAGGCAGCAGUGGGGAAUAUUGCACAAUGGGCGCAAGCCUGAUGCAGCCAUGCCGCGUGUAUGAAGAAGGCCUUCGGGUUGUAAAGUACUUUCAGCGGGGAGGAAGGGAGUAAAGUUAAUACCUUUGCUCAUUGACGUUACCCGCAGAAGAAGCACCGGCUAACUCCGUG
rnacentral:rRNA from 1 species